rnacentral:piRNA from 1 species
CCUCCAUUGUUGAGCAUAUACUAGACGAA